AUUGAACGCUGGCGGCAGGCCUAACACAUGCAAGUCGAGCGUGCGGCGGACGGGUGAGUAAUGUAUGGGGACUGCCCGAUAGAGGGGGAUAACUACUGGAAACGGUGGCUAAUACCGCAUACUAUCGGAUAACCCAGAUGGGAUUAGCUAGUAGGUGGGGUAAAGGUUCACCUAGGCGAAGAUAGCUAGCUGGUCUGAGAGGAUGAUCGGCCACACUGGGACUUAGACACGGCCCAGACUCCUACGGAGGCAGCAGUGGGGAAUAUUGCACAAUGGGCGCAAGCCUGAUACAGCCAUGCCGCGUGUAUGAAGAAGGCCUUAGGUUUGUAAAGGUCUGUUGGCGGUGAGGCGUUACCCACAGAGAAAGCACCGGCUAACUACGUGCCAGCAGCCGCGGUAAUUC
rnacentral:rRNA from 1 species